rnacentral:sRNA from 1 species
AUGUAGCAGUUGUACAUUCUGUUCCUCGGCGCCGUCCGCACCCACCUGACGACCGUUAGCCACGUUUUGCUAGCC